UGCUUUGCACAGUGGCAGUAUCAUAGCCAAUGAGGUUUAUCCAAGGUGUGAUUAUUGCUAAUUCAAAAGAAAAAAUACAAUA
rnacentral:snRNA from 1 species